GAUGAAGAACGUAGCGAAAUGCGAUAAGUAAUGUGAAUUGCAGAAUUCCGUGAAUCAUCGAAUCUUUGAACGCACAUUGCGCCCCCUGGUAUUCCGGGGGGCAUGCCUGUCCGAGCGUCAUUGCAACCUUCAAGCGCGGCUUGUGUGUUGGGUCUCGUCCCCCGUGGACUGGCCCGAAAGGCAGUGGCGGCGUCCCGACAUGGUGCCCGAGCGUAUGGGAAUCCUCUUCCGCUCGAAUCGGCCCAUGCGGCGCUGGUCGUAACCAAAUUUUUUACCGGUUGACCUCGGAUCAGGUAGGGAUACCCGCUGAACUUAAGCAUAUCAAUAAGCGGAGGA
rnacentral:misc_RNA from 1 species